AAGACAAUUUCCCUAAUAGACUUUCUGACUGAGGAAGGGCAGACUGGAGGAGGAAGCACCUAUAUCCCCAGACUGGGCUGAUGAAACAGAUGAGCCAGAAGGAAAUGCUUCAACCACUUGGCACACUAAUGAUGAGAUGUGUAUAGGACAUCUCCAAUUGGUCAUUCCAUUCUUUUCACUGCUCCACAGGAUGCUGGAGAACCCCAUAUUGAUUGGAGCCAUCUUCCCAAAUCACCAUCCUACAAUGCUCUUCUAGGGAACUUGCUCUAUGAUGUGAUAGAAGACUCAAUUAAGGAAUUAUUUAGAGGAUUAAAUAUUGAUACAGCACACUGACCACAUGAACCCGGCAUCCAGAGAGGUUGAAAGUUUUAGUUAUCCUGAGUUUGAGGACCUGGAUGCCCUGUUCAGUACCCUGGGUCUCAAUGAAGAGUCUGUAGGUAACAGGAUAAUUAGAGUGGACAUUGCUGACCAAGCACAGGAUAAAGACAGGGAUGACUGUCCUCUUGGCCAGGAUAGAAAUUAGGAUACUGACAAAACAGAUAUACUGGAGGUCCAUCCUGCCACAGACAGCUUUGAUGACUACCUGCCUAGAAGAGGUGUUGAUAGCUUUGGAGACAAGUAUCAAGAUCAUGCAAUUCAGACCAGUAUCAUGAUGGGUGUCAGGACAGGUUUAGAGAUGGCUCACACCAGGAUAUGGGUCAAUGUGGGGGCCGGGAUUAAGAUGAUGACUGAGGCAGCAGAGACUAUGAUAGAGGCUAUGAUUCUGCAACAGGCAGUUGCAGAAGAGCAUUUGGUAGUGGGUACCUCAGAGAUGAUGACUACUGAGGAGGUGGAUGAAGGCCAAUAAGACAGACAGGACAAUUGGUCAUGGAACUCCAGAGAUGAUUACUCUUAGGGUGAUUAUAGGCAUGAUGAUAGGGGUCCCUCCCAAAGAUCAGAGCCUCAGAGCAUUCAUAAGGAAGAUGAUCCCUCUUCUAGCACCCCCUCAGCUCAGUUGAGUGGCUUCUAUCUUUGGAGGGGGAAAGUCCAUUGACACAGUUGCUAGAAAAAGAGAAGCAGAAGAACAGCUACAGAAGAAACAAGAGAAACCAUAUUGACAGCUGGAUGAGCCAAAUCUAGAACAAUGGCCUCUGGAGAGACAUCCAAGCUGGCAAAGUGAAGAAACUCAGGAACGGGAAUGGUGGAGGACGGGAAGUGAGCCAGUGCAGACUGCGACCCCAGCCACAUCAGGCAGAAGCAAGUCAGACCAGGACACAUGAAGAAGAGAGAGUGAGAAGUCUCUAGAAAAUGAAACACUCAAUAAAGAGAAACACUGCCAGUCUCCAAUUUCUAAGCCUUCCAAACCUGAUCAACUCCUAAAGGUGAUUCGAGCCCCUCCACCAAAGGAGACUGCUUAGGUGAAGAGAAGUUCUAAUCCUCUUAUUCCAUCUCAGAGCUCAGAAACAGAGCAGCAACCCCCUACAGGUAGUGAGGGAAAAGUACCUCCAGUUCAACCCUCAGAGGAAAGACCAGCAAAGAAAGAUGAAAAUAAAGUAGACGGGAUGAAUGUCCAAAAGUCCAAAGUGGGAACUCGGGCCGUGGUCCAGGAGAUGGAGGGAACAAAGACUGCUGGAGGGAGUCAGACAGGAAAGAUGGCAAAAAAGAUCAAGUCUGCAGAUCUGCACCUGAGUCAAAGAAACCUGAGGAAAAUCCAGCCUCCAAGUUCAGUUCUGCAAGCAAGUGUGCUGCUGUCUCUGUUGAUGGUGAAGAUGAAAAGGAAGGAGCAGAUUACACCAAAUAG
rnacentral:lncRNA from 1 species